rnacentral:rRNA from 1 species
GACGUAGGGCGCGAGCGUUGUCCGGAUUUAUUGGGCGUAAAGAGCUCGUAGGCGGCUUGUCGCGUCGACUGUGAAAACCCGCGGCUCAACUGCGGGCUUGCAGUCGAUACGGGCAGGCUAGAGUGUGGUAGGGGAGACUGGAAUUCCUGGUGUAGCGGUGAAAUGCGCAGAUAUCAGGAGGAACACCGGUGGCGAAGGCGGUUCUCUGGGCCUUACCUGACGCUGAGGAGCGAAAGCGUGGGGAGCAAACAGG